rnacentral:piRNA from 1 species
UGCUUGAUUAUUAAAUUGGAU